AUUGAACGCUGGCGGCAUGCCUUACACAUGCAAGUCGAACGGCAGCACGGGAGCAAUCCUGGUGGCGAGUGGCGAACGGGUGAGUAAAGUAUCGGAACGUGCCCAGUCGUGGGGGAUAACGUAGCGAAAGUUACGCUAAUACCGCAUACGACCUAUGGAUGAAAGCGGGGGAUCGCAAGACCUCGCGCGAUUGGAGCGGCCGAUAUCAGAUUAGGUAGUAGGGGGGGUAAAGGCUCACCAAGCCGACGAUCUGUAGCUGGUCUGGGAGGACGACCAGCCACACUGGGACUGAGACACGGCCCAGACUCCUACGGGAGGCAGCAGUGGGGAAUUUUGGACAAUGGGCGAAAGCCUGAUCCAGCCAUGCCGCGUGCAGGAUGAAGGCCUUCGGGUUGUAAACUGCUUUUGUACGGAACGAAAAGGUUUGGCCUAAUAAGCUGAGCUCAUGACGGUACCGUAAGAAUAAGCACCGGCUAACUACGUGCCAGCCGCCGCGGUAA
rnacentral:rRNA from 1 species